CAGAGAUGCUUUAGUGCCUUCGGGAACUCUGAGACAGGCGCUGCAUGGCUGUCGUCAGCUCGUGUUGUGAAAUGUUGGUUAAGUCCCGCAACGAGCGCAACCCUUAUCCUUUGUUGCCAGCACGUAAUGGUGGGAACUCAAAGGAGACUGCCGGUGAUAAACCGGAGGAAGGUGGGGAUGACGUCAAGUCAUCAUGGCCCUUACGAGUAGGGCUACACACGUGCUACAAUGGCGCAUACAAAGAGAAGCGAUCUCGCGAGAGCAAGCGGACCUCAUAAAGUGCGUCGUAGUCCGGAUUGGAGUCUGCAACUCGACUCCAUGAAGUCGGAAUCGCUAGUAAUCGUAAAUCAGAAUGUUACGGUGAAUACGUUCCCGGGCCUUGUACACACCGCCCGUCACACCAUGGGAGUGGGUUGCAAAAGAAGUAGAUAGCUUAACCUUCGGGAGGGCGUUUACCACUUUGUGAUUCAUGACUGGGGUGAAGUCGUAACAAGGUAAGCGUAGUGCU
rnacentral:rRNA from 1 species